CAGUCGCCGCGGUAAUACGGAGGGUGCAAGCGUUAAUCGGAAUUACUGGGCGUAAAGCGCACGCAGGCGGUUUGUUAAGUCAGAUGUGAGAUCCCCGAGCUUAACUUGGGAACUGCAUUUGAAACUGGCAAGCUAGAGUCUUGUAGAGGGGGGUAGAAUUCCAGGUGUAGCGGUGAAAUGCGUAGAGAUCUGGAGGAAUACCGGUGGCGAAGGCGGCCCCCUGGACAAAGACUGACGCUCAGGUGCGAAAGCGUGGGGAGCAAACAGGAUUAGAUACCCGCGUAGUCCCUGUCUCUUAUAA
rnacentral:rRNA from 1 species